AUUGGAUGCAGCAAGAUCGUGAUCAACUCGGAUAGCAUGGAGGUUGUGGAAGCUUUGAGAGCAGGCAACUCCUCUUCGGUAGCAAGGGCAAUUAUUGAUGAUUGCUAUUUCAUGUCGUCAGAUUUUAAUCAUGUAAUUUAUGAUCAUUGUAAUAGAGAGAGUAAUAAAGUAGCUCAUGAACUUGCUAGGAUAGUUAAGUUUUCUCCUUCUAUCUGGAUGGAUUCGGCACCAGAUGUACUGCUUCCAUUACUUGUAAACGAUGCCACUAUUUUGCUAAGUGAAUAA
rnacentral:rRNA from 1 species